rnacentral:rRNA from 1 species
CCGUAGGUGACCAUUCUGCGGAGGGAUCAUUACCGAGUUAUCCAACUCCCAACCCCUGUGAAUCAUACCUUUAAUUGUUGCUUCGGCGGGACUUCGCGCCCGCCGGGGACCCGAACCUUCUGAAUUUUUUAAUAAGUAUCUUCUGAGUGGUUAAAAAAAUGAAUCAAAACUUUCAACAACGGAUCUCUUGGUUCUGGCAUCGAUGAAGAACGCAGCGAAAUGCGAUAAGUAAUGUGAAUUGCAGAAUUCAGUGAAUCAUCGAAUCUUUGAACGCACAUUGCGCCCGUCAGUAUUCUGGCGGCAUGCCUGUUCGAGCGUCAUUACGGGCCCAUUUCAAGUCCCCUGUGGACUUGGUGUUGGGGAUCGGCGAGGCUGGUUUUCCAGCACAGCCGUCCCUUAAAUUAAUUGGCGGUCUCGCCGUGGCCCUAAUCUCUGCGCAGUAGUAAAACACUCGCAACAGGAGCCCGGCGCGGUCCACUGCCGUAAAACCCCCCAACUUUUUAUAGUUGACCUCGAAUCAGGUAGGACUACCCGCUGAACUUAAGCAUAUCAAUAAGCGGAGUAUAUUGC